UACGUAGGGGGCAAGCGUUGUCCGGAUUCAUUGGGCGUAAAGAGCGUGUAGGCGGCCAGGUAGGUCGGUUGUGAAAACUGGAGGCUCAACCUUCAGAGGUCGACCGAAACCAUCUGGCUAGAGUUCGGGAGAGGAGAGUGGAAUUCCUGGUGUAGCGGUGAAAUGCGCAGAUAUCAGGAGGAACACCGGUGGCGAAGGCGGUUCUCUGGGCAUUACCUGACGCUGAGGAGCGAAAGCGUGGGGAGCAAACAGG
rnacentral:rRNA from 1 species